rnacentral:rRNA from 1 species
UACCAGCACCCCGAGUGGUCGGGACGAUUAUUGGGCCUAAAGCAUCCGUAGCCGGUUUUACAAGUCCCCCGUUAAAUCCAGCUGCUUAACAGAUGGGCUGCGGAGGAUACUAUAAGACUAGGAGGCAGGAGAGGCAAGCGGUACUCAGUGGGUAGGGGUAAAAUCCAUUGAUCCAUUGAAGACCACCAGUGGCGAAGGCGGCUUGCCAGAAUGCGCUCGACGGUGAGGGAUGAAAGCUGGGGGAGCAAACCGG